AUUGAACGCUGGCGGCAGGCUUAACACAUGCAAGUCGAGCGGAGAUGAGGUGCUUGCACCUUAUCUUAGCGGCGGACGGGUGAGUAAUGCUUAGGAAUCUGCCUAUUAGUGGGGGACAACAUUCCGAAAGGAAUGCUAAUACCGCAUACGUCCUACGGGAGAAAGCAGGGGAUCUCCGGACCUUGCGCUAAUAGAUGAGCCUAAGUCGGAUUAGCUAGUUGGUGGGGUAAAGGCCUACCAAGGCAACGAUCUGUAGCGGGUCUGAGAGGAUGAUCCGCCACACUGGGACUGAGACACGGCCCAGACUCCUACUGGAGGCAGCAGUGGGGAAUAUUGGACAAUGGGGGAAACCCUGAUCCAGCCAUGCCGCGUGUGUGAAGAAGGCCUUAUGGUUGUAAAGCACUUUAAGCGAGGAGGAGGCUACUGAGACUAAUACUCUUGGAUAGUGGACGUUACUCGCAGAAUAAGCACCGGCUAACUCUGUGCCAGCCGCCGCCGUAA
rnacentral:rRNA from 1 species